rnacentral:rRNA from 1 species
UACGGGGGGGGCAAGCGUUGUUCGGAAUUACUGGGCGUAAAGGGCUCGUAGGUGGCCAACUAAGUCGGACGUGAAAUCCCUCGGCUUAACCGGGGAACUGCGUCCGAUACUGGUUGGCUUGAAUCCGGGAGAGGGAUGCAGAAUUCCAGGUGUAGCGGUGAAAUGCGUAGAUAUCUGGAGGAAUACCGGUGGCGAAGGCGGCAUCCUGGACCGGCAUUGACGCUGAUGAGCGAAAGCUAGGGGAGCAAACGGG